GAGUCAAGGUAAGCACCGUCUCCUCCUUCUCCUUUGUCUUUGGGCCACCGUCGCCUUGGAAUCCGGCCGGCAAGCCGUCGGACUGAUGGGAAAAGCCGAGCCUCUGUUCGGCCUUCUCCUCUUCCAUUCCGGCCGGCCGUCGCCGGGCGUGGCACCGCCAUAGGCCGACGACCAGGGGGCAUCGCCGGCCGUGGGCCACCUGCUGCCGAACCCCCUUCUCCCCUUU
rnacentral:lncRNA from 1 species